rnacentral:rRNA from 1 species
UACAUGGGGUGCAAACGUUGCUCGGAAUUAUUGGGCGUAAAGCGCACGUAGGCGGUCUGUUAAGUCGAAUGUGAAAGCCCCCGGCUCAACCGGGGAAGUGCAUCCGAAACUGGCAGGCUAGAGUACGAAAGAGGGUCGCGGAAUUCCCGGUGUAGAGGUGAAAUUCGUAGAUAUCGGGAGGAACACCGGUGGCGAAGGCGGCGACCUGGGUCGAUACUGACGCUGAGGUGCGAAAGCGUGGGGAGCAAACAGG